UUCGCUCUGUCCGAUAAAGCUGCCUGUACACCUGACGCGAACAGGCCUAGGCGCCCUAGGCAUCUAGCCUCUUACCGCUGGAGAGGACCACCCGUGAGGCUGUGAUUCUUUUUGGCUCGCUCGUCUGGGCGAUGCAGCCUCUUCUCCCUCGCCCCCUCCCAUACCUGCUACCUGCCCUCACCAAGCCGUAAGCUAUCCCGCCGCCACGAUGCCGCCGUGGUGCUGGUCCACGGUCAGCAGGACCGGCGCUGGUCUCCGCCGCGUCGUCUUCUCCGGCAUCACGCUCGCCCCGAACAGGCUGGUAGCUGCCAUGCGUAGCCUGCUGGUGGUCGAGGUCCAAGUGCGCGCGGCGAGCUCCCACGGCAUGCUCGCGCUGAACGGGCUGGUGGCCGCCGGAGUGAGGCCUUGCCCAGAGCAGGGCCGGCCGCGCGUUCCUCAGCUCCAGCGACUCCUCUAUCACUUGGCCAGAGGAAGCGGCGGACCGGCAUGAGCGAGCCAUGGAGGAAGUAGGCGAGGAGAACUCAUCUCGCGAGCGCCUGCGUGCAGCGGCAGCGGCAGUGGAGGACGUCCCGGGUGGCCCACGCGGCUGCCGGAGGCAAGGACAGGCACAACAAGCAAUGGAGCUCUGUGCACGCGGUGCUCGCGCUCCGGCGGUACCGCGCCGACAUGCUCCACGAGCACAUCCCCAACUGCGGCCGCAAUGGGGCACGGACGAGCUCGACGAGUACUCGACGGAGGAGGAGGAGAUGACCCAGCACAGGGGCGGCACCUCGUCGUUGAGCACGGACGAGCCCAUAGUCUCUGUUCUCCGGACCUCCCCCCCAUUUCUUCUGCUUGGCCAGUGCUGCUCAACUUGCAUCAGUUAAUUAGCUGCACUUGCGACAGCACUGCAGUAGCAGCUCAAGACCUUUUCGUUUUCGGUCGUGGAUCUGUUUCACAGACACACAGUAUUUGCUUGUUCGACAAAAUGGCAGGUACAUGUUCUGAUCUGAUAUUGGAUAGGUCAUUGCCGUUUAGAAGUCUAGUUUUGUGUCUUUAUUUGUAGUAUUCAGACUUUAGAAUGAUCAGUUCAGUUCAGGCUUUGCAUAUCGGUAUUUGUAUUUCCCUGUGUAUUUAUUAUGUAGUCCUCUUCUGUUAAUUACAAAUUGUACAAUAGUGCCCAUAUUGAGGUACAAAUUUGAUUACGAAAUAAUCCAAACAAUUUUAUGGUGUA